AAUAAAGUCAGCUAAUGAUUAUAAGCUAUUGGGUUCAUACCCCGAAAAUGAAUAUAAAUUCCUUUAUUA
rnacentral:tRNA from 1 species